CCAAAGUAGAUCUCAAUUUUCUGCUGAAACGAUCAACGAUAAAAUCACAGGGUGCAGGUAAAAUUUCAGCAGGAGUGCUCUGUAAAAUCUCAAUAAAAUUUGCAGCCACUUCAGAAGUUAGGU